rnacentral:rRNA from 1 species
GUGGUAAUGCCGGAUGCUCCGACUCCUCGCAUGGGGUGUCGGGAAAGAUUUCAUCGGUAUGGGAUGGGGUCGCGUCCUAUCAGGUAGUCGGCGGGGUAACGGCCCACCGAGCCUACGACGGGUAGCCGGCCUGAGAGGGCGACCGGCCACAUUGGGACUGAGAUACGGCCCAGACUCCUACGGGAGGCAGCAGUGGGGAAUAUUGCACAAUGGGCGCAAGCCUGAUGCAGCGACGCCGCGUGCGGGAUGACGGCCUUCGGGUUGUAAACCGCUUUUGAUCGGGAGCAAGCCUUCGGGUGAGUGUACCUUUCGAAUAAGCACCGGCUAACUACGUGCCAGCAGCCGCGGUAAUACGUAGGGUGCAAGCGUUAUCCGGAAUUAUUGGGCGUAAAGGGCUCGUAGGCGGUUCGUCGCGUCCGGUGUGAAAGUCCAUCGCUUAACGGUGGAUCUGCGCCGGGUACGGGCGGGCUGGAGUGCGGUAGGGGAGACUGGAAUUCCCGGUGUAACGGUGGAAUGUGUAGAUAUCGGG